GUCCUUUUGAAUUUAAUUUAAGGUUUAACCUGCCCACUGAAAUUAUUUGAAGGGCCGCAGUAAUUUGACUGUGCAAAGGUAGCAUAAUCAUUAGUUUUUUAAUUAAAAGCUUGUAUGAAAGGUUGGACGAGGUAAAUUCUGUCUCUAUUUAAUUUAAAUUAGAAUUUAAUUUUUAAGUUAAAAAGCUUAAAUAUUUUUAAAAGACGAGAAGACCCUAUAGAUCUUUAUAUUAAUAAUAUUAAUUUUAAUUAAGAAUAUUUUAUUUUUUAAUAUUUAUAAUAUUUUAUUGGGGUAAUAAAAAGAUUAAAAUAAUUCUUUUUUUAUUUUUACAUUAAUUAAUGAUUUUAUGAUCCAAUUUUAUUGAUUAAAAGAUUAAGUUACCUUAGGGAUAACAGCGUAAUUUUUUUAGAGAGUUCAUAUCGAUAAAAAAGUUUGCGACCUCGAUGUUGGAUUAAAAAUUAUCUUAGGUGCAGAAUUUUGAGAUUUUGGUCUGUUCGACCAUUAAAUUUUU
rnacentral:rRNA from 2 species